rnacentral:rRNA from 1 species
CUGGCUCAGGAUGAACGCUGGCGGCGUGCCUAAUACAUGCAAGUCGAACGAGAUGUAGCAAUACAUCUAGUGGCGAACGGGUGAGUAACACGUAUUCAAUCUGCCCUAACGACUGGGAUACCCUCGGGAAACCUUGGCUAAUACCGGAUAGGAAAUCGAAUCGCAUGAUUUGAUUUUUAAAGGAUCUUUUGAUUCACGAUAGGAUGAGAAUGCGGCGCAUUAGUUAGUUGGUGAGAUAAAAGCCACCAAGACGAGGAUGCGUAGCCGACCUGAGAGGGUGAUCGGCCACAAUGGAACUGAGACACGGUCCAUACUCCUACGGGAGGCAGCAGUAGGGAGUUUUCGGCAAUGGGGGCAACCCUGACCGAGCAACGCCGCGUGAGUGAUGAAGGCCCUUAAUGGGUCGUAAAAUUCUGUUAUAUGGGACGGACCAUAUCACUGAGAGAAACGGUGGCAUCUGACUGUACCAUAUGAGAAAGGAACGGCUAACUACGUGCCAGCAGCGGC